rnacentral:rRNA from 1 species
CCUACGGGAGGCAGCAGUGAGGAAUAUUGGUCAAUGGACGAGAGUCUGAACCAGCCAAGUAGCGUGAAGGAUGACUGCCCUAUGGGUUGUAAACUUCUUUUAUAUGGGAAUAAAAUGUUCCACGUGUGGGAUUUUGUAUGUACCAUAUGAAUAAGGAUCGGCUAACUCCGUGCCAGCAGCCGCUGUAAUAAGGAGGAUCCGAGCGUUAUACGGAUUUAUUGGGUUUAAAGGGAGCGUAGGUGGGUUGUUAAGUCAGUUGUGAAAGUUUGCGGCUCAACCGUAAAAUUGCAGUUGAAACUGGCAGUCUUGAGUACAGUAGAGGUGGGCGGAAUUCGUGGUGUAGCGGUGAAAUGCUUAGAGAUCACGAAGAACUACGAUUGCGAAGGCAGUUCACUGGACUGCAACUGACACUGAGGCUCGAAAGUGUGGGUAUCAAACAGGAUUAGAUACCCGUGUAGUC